UACGUAGGGUGCAAGCGUUAUCCGGAAUUAUUGGGCGUAAAGAGCUCGUAGGCGGUUUGUCGCGUCUGCCGUGAAAGUCCGGGGCUCAACUCCGGAUCUGCGGUGGGUACGGGCAGACUAGAGUGAUGUAGGGGAGACUGGAAUUCCUGGGUGUAGCGGUGAAAUGCGCAGAUAUCAGGAGGAACACCGAUGGCGAAGGCAGGUCUCUGGGCAUUAACUGACGCUGAGGAGCGAAAGCAUGGGGAGCGAACAGG
rnacentral:rRNA from 1 species